rnacentral:tRNA from 1 species
UAGCCUAAUGGUUAAGGCUAUGGAUUGUCAAUCAGGCGACGGCGGGUUCGAUUCCCGU